ACUACAUACGUGUCUAACGUGGAAUAUAACGACGCAUUUAUAAAGACGAUAAAGACGGGACCUGGACCCAGUUGCCAGUUGCGAAUUCAACGCUCGUCACUGGCCAACUGAUGAACUUGAACCAAAAAAAAAAGAUGAAGAAAAAAACAGGCAGCAAGAGAGAAAAAUAAUAGUGAAACUGAAUACUGUAAAGUUUGCCAUGUAAACGGACAUAAAUUGUGCCGCCGGAAAGCAAAGGCGAACAAAAGUCUCGGAUAAAUCAUCCCAAAACAAAAUUGCAAACAACGGCCAGCAGAGUAACACCAGCAACAACAAUGGCAAACAAAUGCUGCCUUAAGCCGCAAACUACAGUGAAAGUGACGUAAUGCUACAAAAAACGAGCAAAAAAUAUGUAUAAAAAACCAUUAAACAACGACAACAAAGUAAAGAGAAGCGGCGGGGAGCACUGCUAUACUAGUAGGGCAGCGGAAAAAAAUGUCAAUGUCUUUUACAAGCAAGCCGAGGAGGAUGAACACGAAGAAGCGCCAGCUGACCAAAAGGAUCAGCGUGGGGGCGGGGCGGAAGUUCCAGGGUUGUGGGGCGGGGUAUGCAUAAGGGAUAAAGGACGAAGAGCAGCAGUAGGAGCAGGCGAUGCGAAUAAAGUAAACAAUGUUGGCCCAGAGACCUUUGGCGAUGGCUGCGGCACGUGUUGAAACUAUCGAACUAGUCCUUUUAGUCCUUUUUAGUUUUAAAACUUUACUUUCUUUUACAAAAGAGACAUUUUCUAAUUGUGGUAAUUUAAGACAAUUAUUCUCCCAAGAUUGACAUUAAAAAGUAACUAUAAUA